rnacentral:rRNA from 1 species
GCAUAUCAAUAAGCGGAGGAAAAGAAACCAACAGGGAUUGCCUCAGUAACGGCGAGUGAAGCGGCAACAGCUCAAAUUUGAAAUCUGGCCCCCUCGGGGUCCGAGUUGUAAUUUGGAGAAGAUGCUUCGGGUGCGGCCCCGGUCUAAGUUCCUUGGAACAGGACGUCACAGAGGGUGAGAAUCCCGUACGUGCCCGGUGGUCGCCCCCAUGUGAAGCUCUUUCGACGAGUCGAGUUGUUUGGGAAUGCAGCUCUAAAUGGGUGGUAUAUUUCAUCUAAAGCUAAAUAUUGGCCAGAGACCGAUAGCGCACAAGUAGAGUGAUCGAAAGAUGAAAAGCACUUUGGAAAGAGAGUUAAACAGUACGUGAAAUUGUUGAAAGGGAAGCGCUUGCACCAGACUUGCGCGCGGCCGAUCAUCCGGUGUUCGCACCGGUGCACUCGACCGCGCGCAGGCCAGCAUCGGUUUGGGUGGCUGGACAAAGGCCUCGGGAAUGUGGCUCCCCUCGGGGAGUGUUAUAGCCCGAGGUGCAAUGCAGCCUAUCCGGACCGAGGACCGCGCUUCGGCUAGGAUGCUGGCGUAAUGGUUGUAAGCGACCCGUCUUGAAACACGGACC